rnacentral:rRNA from 1 species
UUACUAUCAAACUUAAACUGAAGAGUUUGAUCCUGGCUCAGAUUGAACGCUGGCGGUAUGCUUAACACAUGCAAGUCGAACGCGAAAAUACCUUCGGGUAUGAG